rnacentral:rRNA from 1 species
AGCGGAGGAAAAGAAACCAACAGGGAUUACCUCAGUAACGGCGAGUGAAGCGGUAACAGCUCAAAUUUGAAAUCUGGCUCUCGGGCCCGAGUUGUAAUUUGUAGAAGAUGCUUUGGGUGUGGCUCCGGUCUAAGUUCCUUGGAACAGGACGUCAUAGAGGGUGAGAAUCCCGUACGUGACUGGUGGCCUUCGCUCGUGUAAAGCUCUUUCGACGAGUCGAGUUGUUUGGGAAUGCAGCUCAAAAUGGGUGGUAUAUUUCAUCUAAAGCUAAAUAUUGGCCAGAGACCGAUAGCGCACAAGUAGAGUGAUCGAAAGAUGAAAAGCACUUUGGAAAGAGAGUUAAACAGUACGUGAAAUUGUUGAAAGGGAAGCGCUUGCAACCAGACUUGCAGGCUGUUGAUCAUCCGGGGUUCUCCCCGGUGCACUCGGCAGUUUUCAGGCCAGCAUCGGUUUGGGUGGUGGGAUAAAGGCCUUGGGAAUGUGGCUCUCUUCGGGGAGUGUUAUAGCCCAAGGUGCAAUGCCGCCUACCUGGACCGAGGACCGCGCUUCGGCUAGGAUGCUGGCGUAAUGGUUGUAAGCGACCCGUCUUG